CCUACGGGUGGCAGCAGUGAGGAAUAUUGGUCAAUGGGCGCAAGCCUGAUCCAGCCAAGUCGCGUGAAGGAUGAAUGCCCUACGGGUUGUAAACUUCUUUUAUAAAGGAGUAAAGUGAGGCACGUGUGCCUUUUUGUAUGUAUUUUAUGAAUAAGGAUCGGCUAACUCCGUGCCAGCAGCCGCGGUAAUACGGAGGAUCCGAGCGUUAUCCGGAUUUAUUGGGUUUAAAGGGAGCGUAGAUGGGUUGUUAAGUCAGUUGUGAAAGUUUGCGGCUCAACCGUAAAAUUGCAAUUGAUACUGGCAGCCUUGAGUACAGUUGAGGGAGGCAGAAUUCGUGGUGUAGCGGUGAAAUGCGUAGAGAUCACGAAGAAUUCCGAUUGCGAAGGCAGCCUACUAAACUGCCACUGACAUUGAUGCGCGAAAGUGUGGGUAUCAAACAGGAUUAGAUACCCGAGUAGUC
rnacentral:rRNA from 1 species